rnacentral:rRNA from 1 species
UACGGAGGGUGCAAGCGUUAUCCGGAAUCAUUGGGCGUAAAGCGUCCGCAGGUGGUGCUUCCAGUCUGCCGUUAAACAUCCUGGCUCAACUGGGAACAGGCGGUGGAAACUGAAGUACUAGAGUGCGGUAGGGGUAGAGGGAAUUCCCGGUGUAGCGGUGAAAUGCGUAGAGAUCGGGAAGAACACCAGUGGCGAAAGCGCUCUGCUGGACCGGCACUGACACUGAGGGACGAAAGCUAGGGGAGCGAAUGGG